UACGUAGGGUGCAAGCGUUGUCCGGAAUUAUUGGGCGUAAAGGCUCGUAGGCGGUGUGUCGCGUCGGCCGUGAAAACCUGGGGCUUAACUCUGGGCGUGCGGUCGAUGCGGGCAUCACUAGAGUUCGGCAGGGGAGAACGGAAUUCCUGGUGUAGCGGUGAAAUGCGUAGAGAUCGGCAGGAACACCCAGGGGGAAACCAGUGGACUGGGCAUGUGCUGACGCUCAGGUGCGAAAGCGUGG
rnacentral:rRNA from 1 species